rnacentral:rRNA from 1 species
CACGCCCUAAACGAUGAGUGCCAGGUGUCGGGAAGCUUAGCUUCUCGGCGCCGCAGCUAACGCCUUAAGCACUCCGCCUGGGGAGUACGGCCGCAAGGUUAAAACUCAAAGGAAUUGACGGGGGCCCGCACAAGCGGUGGAGCAUGUGGUUUAAUUCGACGCAACGCGCAGAACCUUACCAGGCCUUGACAUCCCACGCUCGGCGCAGAGAUGCGCUUUUCCCUUCGGGGACGUGGAGACAGGUGC